AGUGAACGCUGGCGGUAUGCCUAACACAUGCAAGUCGAACGGCAGCACAGUAAGAGCUUGCUCUUACGGGUGGCGAGUGGCGGACGGGUGAGGAAUACAUCGGAAUCUACUUUUUCGUGGGGGAUAACGUAGGGAAACUUACGCUAAUACCGCAUACGACCUGCGGGUGAAAGCAGGGGAUCUUCGGACCUUGCGCGAUUGAAUGAGCCGAUGUCGGAUUAGCUAGUUGGCGGGGUAAAGGCCCACCAAGGCGACGAUCCGUAGCUGGUCUGAGAGGAUGAUCAGCACCACUGGAACUGAGACACGGCCCAGACUCCUACGGGAGGCAGAAGUGGGGAAUAUUGGACAAUGGGCGCAAGCCUGAUCCAGCAAUACAGCGUGGGUGAAGAAGGCCUUCGGGUUGUAAAGCCCUUUUGUUGGGAAAGAAAAGCAGCAGGUUAAUACCCCGCUGUUCUGACGGUACCCAAAGAAUAAGCACCGGCUAACUUCGUG
rnacentral:rRNA from 1 species